CCAUGGUAUAAAAAAUGUAUAAAAAUUAUGAAAUAAUCACCUUUUUGUUAGUGCAAAUGCAUGCCCGGAAAUGAAAAAUGAUAUUGCUCGAGCAGACAAAGAUGCCUUUUGAAAAUUUUUUAUACAAGCGAUUUUGCAGAAAUUGGUUAUCAUCACUAUUGCUAAGAAGCCAUUAAAGCUCGACUCGUCCUGACAUUUUGGAACUUUUUAAAUUGAAAUGCAAACUACAUUUUGUGCAGCUAUGGAAUAUAUUAACGGAGUUGUUUUCAUUAAUAUCUACAGCCUGACGCACACCUUUUUUGUUUUUCUCUGAAUCACUUAAACAUUGUGUAUAUAGCAUAACGGCACUUCUAUAAAAAUUAAUAUGGCGCUUUCCUCUUUGCUGAUUUUAUACAAUUGGGAAUAUCUUCAA